UACGUAGGUGGCAAGCGUUGUCCGGAAUAAUUGGGCGUAUAGCGCGCGAAGGUGGUUCUUUAAGUAUGAUGUGAAAGCCACCGGCUCAAUCGGGGAGGGUCAUUGAAAACUGGGUAACUUGAGUGCAGGAGAGGAAAGUGGAAUUCCACGUGUAGCGGUGAAAUGCGUAGAUAUGUGGAGGAACACCAGUGGCGAAGGCGACUUUCUGGCCUGUAACUGACACUGAGGCGCGAAAGCGUGGGGAGCAAACAGG
rnacentral:misc_RNA from 1 species